GACGAACGCUGGCGGCAGGCCUAACACAUGCAAGUCGAGCGAGCGGCGGACGGGUGAGUAAUGUAUGGGAAACUGCCUGAUGGAGGGGGAUAACUACUGGAAACGGUAGCUAAUACCACAUACCAUCAGAUGUGCCCAGAUGGGAUUAGCUAGUAGGUGGGGUAACGGCUCACCUAGGCGACGAUCCCUAGCGGGUCUGAGAGGAUGACCAGCCACACUGGAACUGAGACACGGUCCAGUCUCCUACGGUGGGCAGCAGUCGGUAAUAUUGCACAAUUGGCGCAAGCCUGCUGCAGCCAUGCCGCGUGUAUGAAGAAGGCCUUCGGGUUGUAAAGUACUUUCAGCGGGGAGGCGUUACCCGCAGAAGAAGCACCGGCUAACUCCGUGCCAGCAGCCGCGGUAAUUC
rnacentral:rRNA from 1 species